ACUCCUACGGGAGGCAGCAGUGGGAAUAUUGGACAAUGGGCGAAAGCCUGAUCCAGCCAUGCCGCGUGGGUGAAGAAGGCCUUAGGGUUGUAAACCCUUCAGUCGGGAGGAUAUGACGUGNCCCGCAGAAGAAGCCCCGCGUACAUCCGUGCCAGCAGCCGCGGUAAUACGGAGGGGCGUAGCGUUGUUCGGAAUUACUGGGCGUAAAGCGCGCGUAGGCGGACUUUCAAGUCAGGGGUGAAAUCCCGAGGCUCAACCUCGGAACUGCCUCUGAUACUGUAAGUCUUGAGUCCGAGAGAGGUGAGUGGAAUUCCUAGUGUAGAGGUGAAAUUCGUAGAUAUUAGGAAGAACACCAGUGGCGAAGGCGGCUCACUGGCUCGGUACUGACGCUGAGGCGCGAAAGCGUGGGGGAGCAAACAGGAUUAGAUACCCUGGUAGGCUCUGCU
rnacentral:rRNA from 1 species